GCAGUCGAGCGGACAGAUGGGAGCUUGCUCCCUGAUGUUAGCGGCGGACGGGUGAGUAACACGUGGGUAACCUGCCUGUAAGACUGGGAUAACUCCGGGAAACCGGGGCUAAUACCGGAUGCUUGUUUGAACCGCAUGGUUCAAACAUAAAAGGUGGCUUCGGCUACCACUUACAGAUGGACCCGCGGCGCAUUAGCUAGUUGGUGAGGUAAUGGCUCACCAAGGCAACGAUGCGUAGCCGACCUGAGAGGGUGAUCGGCCACACUGGGACUGAGACACGGCCCAGACUCCUACGGGAGGCAGCAGUAGGGAAUCUUCCGCAAUGGACGAAAGUCUGACGGAGCAACGCCGCGUGAGUGAUGAAGGUUUUCGGAUCGUAAAGCUCUGUUGUUAGGGAAGAACAAGUACCGUUCGAAUAGGGCGGUACCUUGACGGUACCUAACCAGAAAGCCACGGCUAACUACGUGCCAGCAGCCGCGGUAAUACGUAGGUGGCAAGCGUUGUCCGGAAUUAUUGGGCGUAAAGGGCUCGCAGGCGGUUCCUUAAGUCUGAUGUGAAAGCCCCCGGCUCAACCGGGGAGGGUCAUUGGAAACUGGGGAACUUGAGUGCAGAAGAGGAGAGUGAAUUCCACGUGUAGCGGUGAAAUGCGUAGAGAUGUGGAGGAACACCAGUGGCGAAGGCGACUCUCUGGUCUGUAACUGACGCUGAGAGCGAAAGCUGGGGA
rnacentral:rRNA from 1 species